rnacentral:lncRNA from 1 species
GUGUAGUUGAUUGACAAUGUUGUGUUAAUUUCUGGUGUAUAGCAAAGUGAUUCAGUUAUACACACACCUAUAUAGGCUAUUACGGAUUCUUGAGUAGAUUUCCCCAUGCUGUACAGUAGGUCCUUGCUGAUUGUCUGUGUUAUAUGUAGUAGUGUGAUGUGUCAAUCUCAACUUCUUUCUCACAGAUUUCCUUGCCAGCAAGCACACUUUAGUUCAAUUUCACAUAUUCUAGUUCUGUCACACUCAUCUCUCAGACUUUGGAAUAUGACUGGGCAUUAAUAUGAUUAUGAUAUUUUCCCGCUUAUUCCCAUAAUUUCUCUUAGUAUGUGAGAUAAGAAUCUAAAAUCUUAUAUGUAAUUUGCAAUCUCACCAUGAACCUUUAGCCUGGUGAGUCUCCUCCUCGACCUUCUCUUUCUCCCAAUGUCUGUUUCACCAUUCCUCAUCUCUGAGGGAGCCGUAGGCAAUUCUUGAUGUCUUUCCAGGAUAUCAUACUUAUGGUGGGUUGCUUGAAAAGCUUUUAUUCAUUCUCUGUUUUGAUUCAAGUAUUCUUUCCUCUGGGCACUCCACCACGAUUUUUCCAUAUAUAUUUGGUUACAAGUACAUCAAUAUUUCAUUUUUACUGAAGACAUGCAUUGUAUAUAGUCUUCAUGUUAUAUUCCAAUUUGCUUUAUGUAUGUCUAUCUUUCAUUAGAUAAGGGUUUAUCUAAGUCCUUCAAAAUAGUGGAUAUUUGAUGUAAAUAAUGUAUUCAAUUAGAUAAGUCAUUUUUAUAUGCAGAGGUUAGGUCCACUUUAGAAAAUAGUUGCAAAAUAAACAGUAUUCUUUUCUUUUUUCAAAACUUAUUUUGAUUCCAAUAGAACUUGUUAAAAUUUGAAGUAAACCUUUCACACAUAUGUAUGAAACUAUGGUGAAAUUGGAAAAAGAUUCUACCUAUGUAGAUUUUAUAGAAUUCCAGAGACUUAGAAUAUGUUGUUUUGAACCUUUUUUCAAUAUUUUUGAGGAGUACUUAAUAUCUAAGUGUAUGUGGUUAUUAUUUUAUGAGUACUUCUGUUAAUUUGUAACUAAGAAGGUGAGAUUUUUAGUGAUAUUUGUCAAUACAACUUGGUAAAUUUCAAACACUGGAAAUACUAUACUUCAGAGAACUUCCCUUGUGUUUAAAAUAUACUUUUUGUAUUAUUUUACAUUAUGUCCAUGUAUUUAUAAUAGUUUAUAUGAAAUAAACUAUGCAACUGUGUGUUACUUUUUAAAUAAGCAGUUCCAAAAGUCCAUUCAAAUUUUGUUGUUAGAAAAUACAAAAUAAUAUACUUUCUGAAAUUAUAUAUCUAGUUAAUUCUUUCCGAAAUUCAUAAAUACAUGAAUUUCCAAGUUCUUAUGUCAGUGUGUAGAAAUGGCCAAUUGCAAAUGUCUCCUUGGAAAAAUAAAUUUGAGUCAUUGGAUUGAAACCCUAAACUGAAAAAUUCUAUGGAGUCCCAUAGACUUCUAAAUAUACACCUCACUCAUCAUCAAAAUAUAACUGUCUCUGGAAUAAAAAAAGUGCAAUAUAUACUUUUCUGCUCUCAACAUUCACUAGAGAUUUCAGCCAAGGAACUAUUAAGUAUUUUACCUAUAGUCUACUGACAAUUUUAAAAUUCUGCGUAGCAUCCUAAAACAGUCAAUGGAAAUUCAAGACAUCACCUACACAAAGCUUAUUUGCCUAAAGCAAAAUGUGUUUUUUACUGUAGAGAGCAAGUACUUUUACAGUUAAUAUUUCAUUCAAGAUCAUAUAAAAGCAUCCUGCUUCCUAAGUGAGACAUCUAUGUAUCAUUUAUUACCAGGAUUUUUAUUGGUUUGGAUUGAGAUGCAACUGGCAUAGAAAUAGAAUUCAUGUGUUUAAAUGUCAAUUUGAAGAUAUUCUACGGAUUUUUACUCCUAUGGAAAUAUCCUGCAAUCUCAAGAUAAUUAAUAUGAGAUGCCCGUCACCUGCAGAAAUUUGUGUGUCGCUAAGUAAUCUUUCAUUCUUGCCUAUCUCCAUUCCAUGCCCCCUUGACCUCAGCCAGUCACUGGUCAGCGUUUUGUCACUUGGAUUAGUUCUAAUUUUCUAUGAUUUUUAUACAAAUGGAAUCGAACAGUAUAGAUCUUUUUUUUGGACUGGUUUCUUUUACUCAGAGUAAUCAUUUGAGACACAUUCAUAUUAUAGUACGUUAUAUAAUUCUUUUUUCCCCCCGAUGUGUAGUGCACUCUUUUAUAAUUAUGUUAUAAUAUGUUUAUGUCUUCACUUGUUGAUAGAAACUUGAGUCAUUUUCAUUUGGGGCUAUAAUACAUAAUGGUGCUGUGAACAUCCAUUUCAACUCUUUGUACAGCAUAUGCUUUCAUGUCUGUCAGAUAAAUGCUAAGGAAUGGAAUGGCUGUGUGAUAUGGUAGAUACAGCUUUAAAAGAAUCUUCCAAAAGGUUUUCCAAAGUGGUUGUGCUAUUUUAUAUUCCCAUUAGCAGCGUACGAAAAUUACAGUUCCUUCACAUGUUCAUCAGUACUUGGUGGGAUCAGCUAUUUUAAAGUCAUAUCUUCUUGUGAAUUGAUAAUUUCCUUAAAAAAGGCUGUUUGAUGUGUUUUGCUCAUUUUUGUUGUUGUUUCAGGCAGGAAGGUAAUUUUGGCCCAGUUCUCUUCAUUUUGGGCAGAAAUAGAAGUCCCUAUUAGCAGAGAAUUUUACAGAUAAAAAAAAAAAAGAAGGAAAAAAAUAAGAAAAAACAAGUAUGAACCAAACAGCUAAUAUGAGAUUCUUAAAAUUUAUAUUAACCUUAAAUAUUUUUAAACUUUGUGAUAUUAUUCUUAAAUAAAUUUAAAUAAGAAAUUACAUAUGAUGAGGAACAUAAAUCCUAUAAGCAAUCAUUGUUCCAUAAGUUAACUAACUUUGCUUUCCAUAAGGGUAUUAGUCUAAGUAUUAGUUGAUUUGUUCUACUCCUCUGAAUUUGGGGAUUGUAUGGUAUAGACGUAUUUUUGUUCAACUUGGACCAUGCACUAGGCCUCGGGAUUGGUUCCCACAGAUACUUCUAAUCAUGUGUAGAUUAUUUAUAAUAACUGAUCCAAUGUAAAUGUUAUGUAAAUAAUUGUAAAUACAACAGAUAUGCUCUGUAAAUUAUUGUUGACAAGCGGCAAUUUCAAGUUUUGCUUUUCAGAAUUUUCUGGAACAUUUUUUCCAAAUUUUUUAAAUUUGUGUUGGUUAAAUUUGUGAAUGUAAAACCUAAGUAUAUGGAGGGAUGACUGUAUUUUCUUCUCCAUCAUAUCAAUGAUAUUCUUCUUGGGGUCUCUCUAGUUGCAUUGUAAACAGACCAUGCUAGGAGAUACUGAAAAUUAAACUUAGAGUGCCAAGAGAGCAGACAGUCUGCUAUGUUUUGCUAUAUCUCUAUUGCUUAGUAUGUUGCCUAUUAAAGAGUUUAUUUGUCAGGGUUAUCCAGAGAAACAGAUUCAGCAGGAUAUCUAUAUAUAGAGAGAUAGGCAUAUAGAAAGAGAUUUAUUAUGAAGGAUUGUCUCACUUGAUUGCAGAAAGUGCAAAUUCCUAUAAUCAUCCUACCACCUGCAAACUGUAGACUUAGGAAAGCAGCAGUGUAGCUCCAGUCCAAAGAUGAAGGCCUGAGAACCAGGGGAGCCAACUUUGCAAAUCUCAGUUUGAGUUCAAAAGCUUAAGAAAUAGGACCACCAAUACCCAGGGUUGGGAGAAGAUGGAUGUCCCAGUUUAAGGAGUGGGAAUAAAUUCAUCCAUCCUUCACCUUUAUGUUCAUUUAUGACUCUCAAAGUAUUGGAUGAUACCCGUGUACAUAUGGGAGAGAAAUCCACUUUACUCAGUCUUUAUCUUAGAUGCAUAAUGAUUGUAUUUUUUUUUCUGUGACAGGUAGAAUAAUGAUACUUCUUCAGGAUGACUAUAUCCUAAUCUCUAAUACCUGUUACUAUAUUACGUUACAUGGAUGGCAUAAAGGAAUUUGCAGAUAUGACUAAGGUUAUGGACCUGGAGAAAGGCAGAUCAACCUGAAUUAUUUGGGUGGACCAAUCAAGUUAUGUGAGUCCUUAAAAAAGGAGGAACUUUCCCAAUUAUGGUAAGAGGGAGAUGCAAAAGAGGAAUAAUUGUCAGAGACCAUUGUAAUGUGGAUGACUUGAAGGUGGAAAGAGUGUUCCAGGAAUGAAGGAACGCAAGCAAAUUCUAGAAGCUGGAAGAGGAAAGGAAAUGGAUCCUCCUCUAGAACCUCCAGAAAGAAACACAGGUCUGCUACAACCUUGAUUUUACCCCAGUGAGAUCCAUGUUGUAUUUCUGACCUACAAACAUGAAAGAUAAUACAUUUGAUGUUUUAAGCUACUAAAUUUGUAGUAAUUUGUUAUGGCAGCAAUAAUGCAUUAAUACAAUUGUGACUACACUUAUAUAAACUAAUAGAGUGAUAAACUAUCUUGAAUUCUUAAUACAUAUAUAUUCAGAUACUCUUGGCUAAAAUUGAUGCUGUCUUUCUAAAUAUGGGUGUGUAAUAAGCAUUAAAGAAUCACCAAAGCUCUGUGGGAAUGAGGCUAGAUAAUCUGAGGUGCUAUUUGAAAUUUUGGUGUCCUUUUUUCUCAGGUGUUACUCGGAACAGCAAUGCUAAAAAUGUAGAGGUUUUACCAUAUGGUGAGUAUGACAGUGUGAUCCAGAGAGGUACGAUUUAUGCCUGAUUGUCAUUUGAUUGUUUCCUCUAUUCAUAGGAUAGCAUUUCCCAGUCAGAGGUCAAUCAGUGUUGUAAACUAUUCAAUCUAUUCCAUUCAGCAAGCUAACAAGCAUGAUUUAGCAUGACCGGACAUUGCAAAAAUGAAAUCCUAAUCUAUUUUAAAUGGCAGGAAUCAGGAGUUCUCUGGCAGUGCAGCCGAUUAAGGACCCUGCGAACUUCUGCAUGUCAUGACAUGG